UUUUGGUGCGUGAUUUACAAAAGCAAAAAUUAGUUUUGGCUAGCCUUUUUCAUCUACGAUUGUAGGCAGGCUUUCCAUAAACAAUUGUGAGACCGUUGAAAGAUUAUCAAGCGAGAUAAAUUGGUGCUACUUUUGUGACAGGUCCGGUUGGUCUAUGUAAUGAUUAAGGCUUACUUUUGGACUUCAAUUCAAAGAGCUGUAUAGAUGACCUUUUGCAUAAUUGGGACAAUUUUUUGCCUGCUCUGUAAAACAAGCUAGGCGAGGAGCUUAAGACUUUGCUUAUUAUUUUGCAUCCCGUUUGAUCUUGAUGUUGUCGUGGAAUCAUUUUAUCAAAUGAUUGAUCUGGGUCUAGCUAACUUGGUUGAGGCAAUUCAUAGUCCAUACCAGAGAACGAUCAAAUGAAGAAGAGGGAUUUUGCUGAGGUGUCAUCAGCAACAGCUGAAGGCUAGCUUUUGUGCGACCUUGAACAGGCUCACGGGCCAACUGAAGUGUCCUAAGGAAGUUUUUUAUGCCUGUGAAGAUCAAAGCACUUGAUAUGGUUUCAUCAGCACAAAAUUGAAUGAUUGUGAAUGUAUUAUUUUUCAGUUGAAUCUACUUUUUGUAUGCUCGUUAGGUUCUACCUCUAUUAAGCAAAUACAUACGUGCUGAUUUUUCUACAUGUUAACCAGAUGCAAAGUCCUUUGAUGCAAUGUGCUCUAAUGGUAUCAUUCCCAAACUCAGUUAGGCUCUGCAGAUAGAGGUUCUACCUCUCUGGUAAUCGAAUAUGUACGUGCUGAUUUUUCUGCAUGUUACCCUGAUGUGGAGUUGUUUGAUGCGGUCUCGUUCUAAUGAUAUCACUUUCAAACCCAAUGAGGCUCUGCAGAUGGAGCUGAUUGGAAAAGCCAAUUAGUGUGAGACCCAAUUACAGGGUUUACAUUUGAUGAUGCGGUUCAAACUAUAAGAGACACACCUUCGGGUCGUCAAAACUUCUUAAUGACUUGCCUCGAAGGACACAACCAAGAGAAGGGAGCAAAAUCUCACCAAGGAAUGAAGAAGGAGAAGGAGAAGGGGAAGGAGAAGGAGAAGAUUGCCUCAACUGAGUUGACAACAAAAUUGCAGCUACCACUGCUACCGAGACCUUCUCACGUGGACUGCGGUGCCACCUCCUCUGUGGUUUAACUGGUAUGAUGACUAAUUCAUGAAAUAUUUGAUAUAAUGCCAAAGUGCUAAUUUCCAA